rnacentral:ncRNA from 1 species
CAAAGGCCUGGUCCUGACUUUACUAUCGGCUUUAGCCCAAUUUAUACAUGCAAGUAUCCGCACUCCUGUGAGAAUGCCCUCAUACCCCCGUCCGGGUACGAGGAGCCGGCAUCAGGCACGACAUUAAGCCCAAGACGCCUUGCUACGCCACACCCCCAAGGGAACUCAGCAGUAAUAAACAUUAAGCAAUAAGUGAAAACUUGACUUAGUUAGGGCUAAGAGGGUCGGUAAAACUCGUGCCAGCCACCGCGGUUAUACGAGAGACCCUAGUUGAUAUAUACGGCGUAAAGUGUGGUUAGGGGCAAACAACAAAUAGAGCCAAAGACCUCCCAAGCUGUCAUAAGCACCCGGAGGCACGAAGCCCAAGUACGAAGGUAGCUUUAUCAGUACACCCCGACGCCACGAAAGCUUAGAAACAAACUGGGAUUAGAUACCCCAUUAUGCUUUGCCUUAAACUCAGAUGCUCUAUGUACCAACGCAUCCGCCAGGGAACUACAAGCGCUAGCUCAAAACCCAAAGGACUUGACGGUGUCUCAGACCCACCUAGAGGAGCCUGUUCUAGAACCGAUAAUCCCCGUUAAACCUCACCACCCCUUGCUAUUCCCGCCUAUAUACCGCCGUCGCAAGCUUACCCUGUGAAGGCCCCACAGUAAGCAAAAUGGGCAAACCCCAGAACGUCAGGUCGAGGUGUAGCUCACGAGGUGGAAAGAAAUGGGCUACAUUUUCUGCAACAGAAUAUCACGAAUAACACUAUGAAACUGGUGUUUGAAGGUGGAUUUAGUAGUAAAAAACAAACAGAGCGUGUUUUUGAACCAGGCUCUGAGACGCGCACACACCGCCCGUCACUCUCCCCGAGACAAUACAAACAAGUAAAUAACCAAAAACACAAUAAAAAGGGGAGGCAAGUCGUAACAUGGUAAGUGUACCGGAAGGUGCACUUGGGACAC